rnacentral:rRNA from 1 species
CCUACGGGUGGCAGCAGUGAGGAAUAUUGGUCAAUGGACGAGAGUCUGAACCAGCCAAGUAGCGUGAAGGAUGACUGCCCUAUGGGUUGUAAACUUCUUUUAUAUGGGACUAAAAUGUUCCACGUGUGGGAUUUUGUAUGUACCAUAUGAAUAAGGAUCGGCUAACUCCGUUCCAGCAGCCGCGGUAAUACGGAGGAUCCGAGCGUUAUCCGGAUUUAUUGGGUUUAAAGGGAGCGUAGGUGGAUUGUUAAGUCAGUUGUGAAAGUUUGCGGCUCAACCGUAAAAUUGCAGUUGAAACUGGCAGUCUUGAGUACAGUAGAGGUGGGCGGAAUUCGUGGUGUAGCGGUGAAAUGCUUAGAUAUUACGAAGAACUCCGAUUGCGAAGGCAGUUCACUGGACUGCAACUGACACUGAGGCUCGAAAGUGUGGGUAUCAAACAGGAUUAGAUACCCUUGUAGUC